rnacentral:lncRNA from 1 species
UGAUUUUAAUCAUAGUACCACGGCUCGUGAACAACUAAAUUAUUGUCAUAGUAAUGUCCAUUAACACCCGUUCCUUCAAAUAAUGAUGGAUACCUGUGUGAUUCAGGAACGUGUUCCUUGUCGAUUCUGACGUUCCUACCUAAAUCUUUGGUAACCAAAAACUUUCCGGUUUGAAGCUCGGUGUCUGUUAUAGUAGAGCGAUGAAGUCUAGCAUAACCAAUUCGCUUGACACCUCGAUAAAAUAUAUACUGACACCAACGAUCAUAGUCAGCAGGUUCAAUGUCUAACAUUCCCGUGUCUCGCGUUAGAAUAGUUUGGGGUUCUUGGCCAACGUUUGAAACAACAUAUCCGAGAAACACUAGAGGCCUUGGACUCUCGCGCAUAAUUCGAGCCAACUCAGUGCUCUGAAGACGUCGAUCCAACUGACUUUCAUAUUGACCAUUGUGAGAAACCACAACAUCUAUUAGCUCUCCGUAGACAUCUAGUGUUGCAUGAAUAGCAGGAGCAAGUUCUCCUUGAGGAGAAGGUAACAAAUGGUGAGUCGAGUUGACAAUAGGAAAUUUGGAGAGUAACGCAGCGCCCCAAGUAUGUUUAUCAGGGCCUGGGCCAUAAUCCGCAUACAUUCCUAGAUCAUGUGCUAAAACCUGGGUUAAAUCUCGAAAUCCCAUAAUUAAACGUUGUGUGUCAGAUUCCAGUAGACCAAAGACAUCAAGUUCCAUAUCUCGAACAGCAUCGCGUAUACGAUUCUCACUUGCAUACAUGAAAUUGUCUAAGCCAAAGUGAAUAGUCCAAAUACCAGCAGUGAAAAGCUUUUCAUUUGGAUGGUAAGGUGUAUAGUCAUACGGAGGCAUAUUCUGAAUGGCAAAUUUUAGGGCCAUAAGAGCCAGACAAAAACCUGUCAAUAGUGAUUUUUUGAAACUUCUUCUACGAUAAGAAGAAUCUGAUUGUUUGAUAUCUACUACAGAUGAGUCUGCUUUGUUGGGUUCUUUGGACUCACCCGAAUACGCAGGUACUAAAGCUGCAAGGUUCCAACCAAUGAAAAUUAGAAUGUAAGAAGUUCUCUCUCGAAGAAUGGGUCCACCUGGAACAAACUCGUAGGCUACGACCCAAACAUGAGCUAAUGAGUAAAGGAUGUAAACCAAAAAAGCGCCACCCCAAACCUUCGCAGGAGAAUAGAAGGAGGAAAUUCUGAUAGAAGCGAACGAGUAAAUUAAAACGUAGGAAGUAAAUAUUAACCCACCCAAAUAACUACACCAUCCAUGGUUAAUAUACAUAAAAUAUGAUCCGAAGCAGGCUAAAACAAAUCCAAUAAGCAUAAAAGCACCUGAUUGAUAUAAAUAAGGGGCUACCAAAACAGCGCAAAUGGAAACAACUAUUGAAACGGCACCGUGUGGAUAAGGUUGCGGUCCCUUAAUAGGAUACCCAUCCCACGACCAUGUCAUAAGAACUGUAGAGUCACAAAGAAAAGUAUGCAGACAAAAAAGUACUGUGCCCAAGCUUAGGGCUGCAGACAGAGCAGUUAUCUUCCUUAGUUUAAAAUGUUCCACGGCAUUCGCUGUUGUUUGCUGCACAUGGAAAAUGGCAAAUAUUAGACAUGCAAUUAUUCCGACAAUUAACGCUGGGAUUUGUUUUCCACCGUUUGUUUCAUUUAAAAUAGGCCAUAUAGGAUUGUUAGAAAAAAAAGAGUACUUGGCGAUUGAAGACGCAAGCAAUCCAAACAAAAAUGUGCUAAUUUUACGUUCUAUUGCUAAAUUUUCAGGCGAAAUAUUUGAAAAUAAAGAAGUCCAGGCGAGACAUUCACAACAGACAGAAAACGCAGUAACAAAUAAUCUGUGCACCGGGUCCUCAAGCUUAUAGGCAGCUAUACCUAUAACAUUUAAAAAUAAAAAUAUAACAGGUACUUUUGAGGCAAAUUUUCGCAAUAGUGGAAUACCAAGUAAGAAUGGAGAAAGUUCGAAAAGAAUGCACGCUUCAUAGCCCGAAAUCCCCAUAUGCCAUAAGGGAAAAUACCAUACUAAUAACCCUAAGCUAGUAAGAACGCUCCAGAAGACAAAAGAAAGAUACACCUCAGAUGAAAAGUAUAGCAAGCUAAACAAGAUUUGCUUUUUGGAACACUUGACGUUACUAUCUUUUUUGAUAUUCUUUGCUUGCGUGCCAACAGCUGCAGCCUCUGCAUAAGACAAAUGUUCUCCUUUCUCCUUCUUGCGUGUAGCAAAAGAAGAUGGAUUAGAGUAGGUUUUUGAUGUAUGCAGAUUAAACACGAGUGGUUUAAAAUCCCAGUACAACGCAGAAUCAAAAAGUAUGUCCCACAAUAUCAAUGACCAUUCAAAGAAUGCAUAAACAGUAUAGGCACCAGGAAUAUGUUUAAACUUGUGCUGAAUAUACCAGUAAAUUAAGGGAAAUAUAGUCAAAACGAACAAUGCUGAUCCAAUAUUUCUAAUACGUGAAGCCAUGGAAUUAACUGGUGAACAUUUUGAAACCAAAAUAAACCAAGGAGCGUUAGAAAUUAAAUAUCCAAUCAUGAAAAUAUCAUGCCAAUCAUGGUCAUCAGUCGAAGUUACAUAAACCCAUCCACCACAGAGAGCAGUUCGUAAAACACCCAACGCUGUAGUAAUAAUUACUGAUGGUCUUGAAAUUCCGCUUAAUGUAAACCAAAGCAACAGAACAAGAAGACGAGGUGUUGCUGUUAGAGCAAUAAGCCACUGGAAUACCGACCUUUCUGGAUACCAAUCACCAAUAGUAGCAGAGACCGAAGGAAACCAUUCUUCAGGAUAUCCAUAAAAUUCGUUCUUCACCACCUGCAAAUAUAAUGUUAGUAAAUUGUAAACUUUGCGAAUGUCACGUCUGUCUUGUGGCUCAGUGCUUGCAAACAUGCAAGCAAUCGAUGAACUGUUUGCAGCGCUAAUAAACUGGGGAUCAAUAGUAACUAUUGGAUAUUACUCAAGAAGGAAAUUAUUCUGACUGUAUUUGUGGUUUAUUUACCUGAUAAUAGUGUGUGUAUAAUGCUAAUGCUAGAGGAAUAAAAAAGGCUGCAAAAGAGCAUAUGGUAUGCACCAAAGCCACGUAUUGGGCUGAAAACACUAAAGAGCUUGUUUUUUCUGUCAUUUGAAGCAAAAUUGCUCCUGCACUAAGGUGUGGUUCAGUUCAAGUGUUAUUAAUAUGUGAUUGUAUAUGUAUGCCAUAGCGAGUCAUAACAUAGUUUACAUUCGAAAAGUGGUGCGAAAAAUGUCAGCAAAUUAAAUGGAUAAACAAAGCAAGUAGUGAGUCACAAUAUUAAUCAAUGAAUUAUUUUAAUCCAUAGUGAUACGACGUUGCGUUUUUUUCUUUUGUUUAUAUUUCUUUUCCGACAAUCGUUUUUCAUUCGAUUCUUUUUUUAAGAUACUAAUCCGUGCUAUUUUUUCAGGAGGAGUAUCUGGAACAUAGAGGGUUUCGGCUGAUUUGUUCAAUAAAUCAGAUAUCUUGUUUAAAGCAUCUUCAAUGUUUUUGUGUUGUGAACGAGUUUUCUGAGAGUAGAUCUUUAUUCCAUUUUGUAUACGGUAGUUUCUCAACAUCUCACACGUUUUAAAAUGAUUAAUUAAAAACAUAGGUAUACAACUUUCCAAUUGUUUGAAUGGAAGAUUUACUAUCACCUUUGUAUUAAGCUUGUUGACAUUUUGACCUCCAGGACCACUACUACGUGAAAACGAUAUUUGGACUUGAUCUAUCAAUAGUUAAUAUUUGAAAAAACUGGUUUGGAAAAAUAUCAAGAAUUCCCUUAGCCUUCACAAAGAAUUUAUACCAUCAAUCCGUUGUAUCUUUAACCUUCAAAUCGAUUGAUGCAAGAAUAAGAUUUGUCGAAUACUUUGAAUAACAACUGCAAGGAAAUUGACAAUUUAUUUAUGAACCAUAAGAAAUUGGUAAACGCAUAUAUUUUGCCGAAAUAAUGCAAGUUCAUCUUUCAAACGAAAGACAGUAAGCCUUUUAAGUACCUUGGCGUUUCUACUGAAUACAUACCUUUAGCUGGUUUCCAUUUUAAAUGAAUGAAUUUUAACAAUUGAUUAGUUUCUUCUUUAGUGAGAAGACAUUUAUUGAUAUUGUCAUAAAUUAAACGACUAUUCUUGAUUUUGAAGCAAUUCCGGAAAUUAGCAAACAUUUUCUAAACUUAAUGGUUACGGUGUAUUUCAUCUAUAAAAUUCAUUCAUCAGUUUACUGCACCAACUGAGACAAUAACUUUCCUUUUCUAAUGUGCAUUUAUCAUUGCUCAAUUAGUGCACCUAUGGUUUAACGAGUUGAAAAUUUGACCGCUAAAUU